ACCAUAGCACAAAUAUAUUAGUGCUUUGAAUAUGCUGGUAUACAUGUAAGGUAGGCUCAAUGCAAAGGGGUUCACAUACAUACACUAUGCUAACUGACUGAGUAACAAGAACGUAAGAAUGCAUGUAUAAAUACAUAAUAAUUAUAUCUGAGAUUGUGAUAACAUGAAUGUACUGAUAACUAACAUGACUGAUAACUGAGUUCUGAUGACUAAUAUAACUG
rnacentral:lncRNA from 1 species